CUGAACUUCCCAAGGUGAAAACGCUCAGCUGGGGUGGAACCUCUUCCCCGGGAACAUCCCUCCGCUGCCGGGGGACUGAAAAAAGUAUGAUGGGAAGAGUCUCUGAAAGAGAACGAUGAAGGGGCAUUAUCCACAGAAUUCUGGGAAAAUACCAUCUGCUGACACAGUGGUGCUAAAAUUUAGCGUUCACAUCAGAGACUCCCUCUGCUAAAGCCAGACCACUUCCUGUUGGAUCCCAUCUCCAGAAAGAAAAUCAACAUAACAUUUUUUUUUUUACCCUCUGAAUUUAAUUGGACUUCAGUUGGAUCUAUUUC